UACGGGAGGCUGCAGUGGGGAAUAUUGCACAAUGGGCGCAAGCCUGAUGCAGCCAUGCCGCGUGUAUGAAAAAGGCCUUCGGGUUGUAAAGUACUUUCAGUCGUGAGGAAAGGUGUUAAGGUUAAUAACCUUAGCAAUUGACGUUAGCGACAGAAGAAGCACCGGCUAACUCCGUGCCAGCAGCCGCGGUAAUACGGAGGGUGCGAGCGUUAAUCGGAAUUACUGGGCGUAAAGGGCACGCAGGCGGUUAAUUAAGUUGGAUGUGAAAUCCCCGGGCUUAACCUGGGAAUGGCAUUCAAGACUGGUUAGCUAGAGUCUUGUAGAGGGGGUAGAAUUCCAUGUGUAGCGGUGAAAUGCGUAGAGAUGUGGAGGAAUACCGGUGGCGAAGGCGGCCCCUGGACAAAGACUGACGCUCAUGUGCGAAAGCGUGGGGAGCAAACAGGGAUUAGAUACC
rnacentral:rRNA from 1 species